rnacentral:rRNA from 1 species
UACAGAGGUGGCAAGCGUUGUUCGGAAUUACUGGGCGUAAAGGGCGCGUAGGCGGCCCGUCAAGUCCCGUGUGAAAGCCCCCGGCUCAACCAGGGAACUGCACGGGAAACUAGCAGGCUUGAGUUCGGGAGAGGGAAGCGGAAUUUCGGGUGUAGCGGUGAAAUGCGCAGAUAUCCGAAGGAACACCGGUGGCGAAGGCGGCUUCCUGGACCGACACUGACGCUGAGGCGCGAAAGCUAGGGGAGCAAACGGG